ACCUCUGAGCCAUCUCUCCAGCCCACAAGUAAACUUUAAAAACAGAAAAUAGGGGUUGGAGAGAUGGCUCAGUGGU
rnacentral:pre_miRNA from 1 species